rnacentral:rRNA from 1 species
CUACGGGAGGCUCCAGUAGGGAAUCUUAGACAAUGGGGGAAACCCUGAUCUAGCCAUGCCGCGUGAGUGAUGAAGGCCUUAGGGUUGUAAAGCUCUUUCGCUGGGGAAGAUAAUGACGGUACCCAGUAAAGAAACCCCGGCUAACUCCGUGCCAGCAGCCGCGGUAAUACGGAGGGGGUUAGCGUUGUUCGGAAUUACUGGGCGUAAAGCGCGCGUAGGCGGGCUAUUAAGUCAGGGGUGAAAUCCCGGGGCUCAACCCCGGAACUGCCUUUGAUACUGGUAGUCUUGAGUUCGAGAGAGGUGAGUGGAAUUCCGAGUGUAGAGGUGAAAUUCGUAGAUAUUCGGAGGAACAUCGGUGGCGAAGGCGACUCACUGGCUCGAUACUGACGCUGAGGUGCGAAAGUGUGGGGAGCAAACAGGAUUAGAUACCCCGGUAGUC